GGGCGGUUAGCUCAGUGGUAGAGCACUGCCUUCACACGGCAGGGGUCGCAGGUUCGAACCCCGCACCGCCCACCA
rnacentral:tRNA from 2 species